rnacentral:rRNA from 1 species
CAGCCGCCGCGGGAAUACGUAGGUGGCAAGCGUUGUCCGGAAUUAUUGGGCGUAAAGGGCUCGCAGGCGGUUUCUUAAGUCUGGUGUGAAAGCCCCCGGCUCAACCGGGGAGGGUCAUUGGAAACUGGGAAACUUGAGUGCAGAAGAGGAGAGUGGAAUUCCACGUGUAGCGGUGAAAUGCGUAGAGAUGUGGAGGAACACCAGUGGCGAAGGCGACUCACUGGUCUGUAACUGACGCUGAGGAGCGAAAGCGUGGGGAGCGAACAGGAUUAGAUACCCGCGUAGUCCCUGUCUCUUAUAC